rnacentral:lncRNA from 1 species
UGCUUUAUGCGGCUAUGUAAGCAAUGGAGUUACAUGUUUUACUUUGCCUCUGAAUUUACGAUCUAACUAGAACUAUAAUUCGACAUAUGAAAAGAUAGACGUGCCAUACCAAAACUAUUUUAUCUUUUGAUUUUUUUUUAAAUCUAUGAAUGAAGCUUACCCACUCCCCUAUGUCAAGUGAGAACUAGGCUAGGUUCCUUAGUGCUGUAGUAAAAUAACUCUCUUAUACGGGCUGGACAACGAAUCCUACGUGGCGAAGACGAAAGCCAAUAAUUUUCAAAUAAAUCCAAUAUAUGGGUCUUGAAAUUCUAUUUCAUUAAUAAUAUUAUAAAAAAUAGAAAUAUGAUGUUUUUGUAUCAUUCGAUAUUGAAAACUUGAGUCCAGCAUCCACGGUGUCGAGGCUGGCUCAUGGGCCAUGGCUGUUGGCGAAAAUGCGGAAAGUGCAGGAGUGGUCUUUGUG